GCACAGGCAUGCUCUGCUGGCCAGAGAACAGGCAGGUGUCCCCCUCCUAUUCCCGUCUUCCUCACUUCUCAUGCCCAACGAAGUGCAGCAAGCACUGACGGAUAUCUUGUCUGCUUUCCCUUUGAGCCUAGUCCCUCUCUUUCUCUGGCUCCUGUGCGCUUGCUUUCUUUCGUUUUUCCCAGCCCCAUCACUUAUUCAUGGAACAGGUUCAACUCCCAGCACUGAUGUCUGGAAACGACGCGUGGACACAGAAGUGACAGUGGGUGGUUUCGAGAGUGGCCAGCGUGGAUAAUAGCAGCCGGGCAAUGGAGUCCUCUGUAGUCUUAGAAAACCAGAGUGAUGGCUUCCUCAUAGCUUGCCUGUCCACAUCCAUUUCAUACACCAGAGAGAGCACAUCUGCGUUUCUGUUACAGUACAGAUGGGUCGGAGACAGAAGAUCACAGGGUGAAGGUCCUGGAAGUAGCAGAAGAGUGGAGACGUUGAGGGCUGAAGACACACACACACUCACGAAAGACACAGGAGGUAACUGGGAAUCACUGGAGACAGCCACACAACAAAAAGGAGAGCCAGAACAAAGCCCGGCAAUUACAGUAAGAAAGAACUCAUCGCUGUGGGGCAAGGUGGACAGCACAGAGCCACGCUCAUCUUACACAGCUCUCACACAGACACGCAUGCUGGCAAAAGGCAUCCAGCCCAUCAGGAGCCUCUGAGAGGAAACAGGAUGGGGAAUUCCAAACAAAGAGACAGAGCCAAAACAGGAGGCAACGAAGGGGACAGGCCACAGCUUUUAGCAACAUGUCAACUGGACACAUUAUUUCAUAAAAUAUCCUCUGUGAGCAUGAAAAAUGCAGGCUGACUCCAGGAGAAGGGUAUGUAUAAUUGAUUCAAAUGAGGAGCUCUUCCCUGCCAGGGACCGUGUGCUCAGUUUGCCAGCUGCUGUGGUUGGAGAACAGAAUGUAGGCCAGAGGAAGAAGAAAGGUGCUCCGGACACAGCCUGACCCGGUGGGAGAGAAGAAAAGAUAGAGGACAUACCACAUCAAGCCCCAGGCCAUGAUGUGUAUGACGUUAUUAAGAGUUCAUCCAAAUGCCGUGCAUCACUAGCAUCAUUUGCAUUAGCUCAUUCAGGACAAUCACAUAACCUCCUCAUUAAAUAAACAAAAG
ensembl:lncRNA